rnacentral:rRNA from 1 species
UACGGAGGGUGCGAGCGUUGUCCGGAAUCACUGGGCGUAAAGGGCGCGUAGGCGGCGCGGGUAGUCGUCGGUGAAAGCUCAGGCUCAACCCUGAGUCGGCCGGUGAUACUCCCGUGCUCGAGCACUGUAGAGGCAGGUGGGAAUUCCGGGUGUAGGCGGUGGAAUGCGUAGAGAUCCGGAAGAACGACCGGUGCGCAGGCGGCCUGAGCUGGGCCA